rnacentral:rRNA from 1 species
UCAGCCUCCAUGCAAGUCGAGCGGUAGCACAGAGAACUUGUUUCUUGGGUGACGAGCGGCGACGGGUGAGUAAUGCUUGGGAACAUGCCUUUAGGUGGGGGACAACAGUUGGAAACGACUGCUAAUACCGCAUGAUGUCUACGGACCAAAGUGGGGGACCUUCGGGCCUCACGCCUAAAGAUUGGCCCAAGGGGAUUAGCUAGUUGGUGAGGUAAUGGCUCACCAAGGCAACGAUCUCUAGCUGGUUUGAGAGGAUGAUCAGCCACACUGGAACUGAGACACGGUCCAGACUCCUACGGGAGGCAGCAGUGGGGAAUAUUGCACAAUGGGCGAAAGCCUGAUGCAGCCAUGCCGCGUGUGUGAAGAAGGCCUUCGGGUUGUAAAGCACUUUCAGUCAGGAGGAAAGGGUGUGUUUUAAUAGAGCACAUCUGUGACGUUACUGACAGAAGAAGCACCGGCUAACUCCGUGCCAGCAGCCGCGGUAAUACGGAGGGUGCGAGCGUUAGUCGGAAUUACUGGGCGUAAAGCGUACGCAGGCGGUUGAUUAAGCGAGAUGUGAAAGCCCCGGGCUCAACCUGGGAACUGCAUUUCGAACUGGUCAACUAGAGUGUGAUAGAGGGUGGUAGAAUUUCAGGUGUAGCGGUGAAAUGCGUAGAGAUCUGAAGGAAUACCGAUGGCGAAGGCAGCCACCUGGGUCAACACUGACGCUCAUGUACGAAAGCGUGGGGAGCAAACAGGAUUAGAUACCCUGGUAGUCCACGCCGUAAACGAUGUCUACUAGAAGCUGGGGUCCUCGGACAACUUUUUCAAAGCUAACGCAUUAAGUAGACCGCCUGGGGAGUACGGCCGCAAGGUUAAAACUCAAAUGAAUUGACGGGGGCCCGCACAAGCGGUGGAGCAUGUGGUUUAAUUCGAUGCAACGCGAAGAACCUUACCUACACUUGACAUCCAGAGAAAUCGCUAGAGAUAGCUUUGUGCCUUCGGAUCUGAGACAGGUGCUGCAUGGUGUCGUCAGCUCGUGGUGAGAUGUGGGUUAAGUCCCGAGAGCGCACCCUAUCCGCAGCGAGUAGUCGCUCUGGACUGCGAUACAGGACCAGCAUCAUUAC